CCUACGGGAGACAGCAGUGAGGAAUAUUGGUCAAUGGGCGGAAUCCUGAACCAGCCAAGCCGCGUGAAGGAUGACGGCCCUACGAGUUGUAAACUGCUUUUGUACGGGGGUAAAAUGCCGUACGUGUAGGGUUUUGCAAGUACCGUACGAAUAAGGAUCGGCUAACUCCGUGCCAGCAGCCGCGGUAAUACGGAGGAUCCGAGCGUUAUCCGGAUUUAUUGGGUUUAAAGGGUGCGUAGGCGGUGUUUUAAGUUAGCAGUGAAAUACCGGGGCUCAACAGUGGGACUGCCGCUGAUACUGGAGGACUAGAGUACAGUAGCGGCAGGCGGAAUUCGUGGUGUAGCGGUGAAAUGCUUAGAUAUUACGCAGAACUCCGAUUGCGAAGGCAGCCUGCUGGGCUGUAACUGACGCUGAUGCACGAAAGCGUGGGUAUCGAACAGGAUUAGAUACCCCAGUAGUC
rnacentral:rRNA from 1 species